CUUUGGGAGGCUGAGGCAGGCAGAUCACCUAAGGCCAGGAAUUCGACACCAGCCUGGCCAACGUGGCAAAACCCGUCUCUACUAAAAAUACAAAAAUUAGCCGGGCGUGGUGGUGUGCGCCUGGAAUCCCAGCUACCCAGGAGGCUGAGGCAGGAGAAAUGCUGGAACCCGGGAGGCAGAGGCUGCAGUGAGCUGAGAUCAUGCCACUACUGCACUCCAGCCUGGGUGACACAGCAAGACUCCCUCUAAAAAAAGAAAAAAAGAAAAGAAAAGAAAAGAAAAUGAUAUAUCCAUGAUGAAUUAAAAUGGAGUGGAACCCACUGAUGGGAAAGCCACAGAAGGUACCAGUUAUCCACUCACUGACUUAGGUGCCUCCACUAGAAUUCUCAGCACGUUUUUGCAGAACCUGGGCAACAAGAGCGAAACCCCAUCUCAAAACCACAACAACAACAACAGGACAACAGAGAUGGACGACGGAUCGGGAAAGCCAACCAGACAGCGUGAGGCCAGGACGGAAAGAGGCACAGGGAGCUCUGCUCAGUGUCGCUACAGGGGAUCUCUCAGGCUCACAACGGGCCACUCCUCUAGGGAAGUUCUGGUCUCAUCAUGAUCCUUGUUUGGUCUCACUCCCCAUGUCCUUCUCUGUCCCUCCUCCAACUGCCAUUUAUUUAUUUAACUGAAAAAGUACCAAUCACCCACAUAGGCAUGACAUACUCAUCCAUGUACCCAUUUCUUAAAAUUGAUCAUUGUUAACAUUUGGUGUAAUUUGCUUUAUUUAUUUUUAAUGAAAUAAAUAAAACUUUACAGAAAAUGCUUUAUUUUUCUCUUUGUUCCCUCCCCAUCCUAUAUUUUUCUCCUAAAAAACCCUAUUAUCAGAAAUAUUAGUGUGUAUUCCCAGUUUCGACUUUUUAUUUUAUUACACACACACUCCCACACAUAGCUGUGACAAUGAACUUCACAUAGUAUGGUUCUGUAUUUUCUCUUUGUUUUUCAAACUUACAUAAGUAUUUUACUAUUUCUCAUGGAAAAACUCACUUUUCCCAUCCAACGUUAUGUUUCCUUAAGAUCUCUCUAUGUUGAUAUAAAGAAAUCUAGCUCAUUCUUUUUAAUGAAAAUAAAGUAUAUUUUAUGAAUGUAACUCAUGCUAACCAUGGCAAUAAAAGCUCCAUCAAGCAUGCAUUUAGU
ensembl:lncRNA DSCAM-AS1 DSCAM antisense RNA 1